rnacentral:rRNA from 1 species
GCUUACGGCCAUACCACUCUGAACACGCCCAAUCUCGUCCGAUCUCGGAAGCUAAGCAGGGUCGGGCCUGGUUAGUACUUGGAUGGGAGACCGCCUGGGAAUACCAGGUGCUGUAAGCU